GUGUGUGUUCGUGAAGCUUCAGGAGCUCUCAAGAACUCCAAACCCUAAACAUGAAAGAUCAUCCAAAUUGAAAGGCUAAAUGAUGCUUAAAUCUAUAACCGAGCAUGGAUUAAUGAUCACCAACAUGAGGAGAUCAUAAGAAUUUUGGUGAAUUAUGUAUGAGGAUAGAUAGCAUGUCUACGGGCUCAAGCACGGAGGCUAAUGGGUCAAAAGAAAGCAUGGAACCUAUGCUUGAACUUGGACGCUCAAGGUAAGUGAUUUCCGUAAUCACUUCUUAGUUCAAGUAAGUAAUAAAGUGUUGAAAUUAAUUAAACAUGAUGUUUGAGGUUAAAUAUGUAGGAAAGUCUUUCGUCGUAAAUGAUGGGAUUAAAGUUGACCAAAAUGCCCUUGAUGGGUAUUUUGGGCAAACGAUCUUAAUAAGUAGUUUAGAAGCAAGUUAUUGAUUAGUGUAAUGUCUUGGACAAGUAUGGAAGCGAAGAGUAUGGUCUUGGUAUGUCAUAAACCAUUUAACGCGCAAAUACCCUUAACGGGUCAAAACUAAGUAUAUGAACGAUAAUGUGUUAAGAGGAUGCUAAAUGUAUAAGAACUUAUUAUUUUAUGAUAGAUGUCACUGAUAUUAUUAGGUUUAUAAGAGUUUAUGGUAAAACAAACAAGUUACGUUGAUGAAUGCAUGAACGGGUCGAAUUGUGGGUAAGAGGGUAAUAAGCCGAUAGCGUGUAAGUUAAGAUUUUCCUUAAGGCGGUUAUGGGAUUUUAAGUUCAUUUGAUAGGAUGUGAAUUUACAAGCAUGUAGGAAGAAACGGGAGGUUAAACGGGUAAACGGUUCGAAAGUUACGUGCGUUUUAGUGCGUACGGACGACGAAACGAACCUGCAGAAAACUGCAAAAAAAAAAAAAACUAGAGGGCGUCGCCGACGGGUAGGGGUACCUAAAUGUGGGAUCCUAAAGAAUAUGUAGUAAUAUGGUACCUAAAUGUGGGAUCCUAAAGAAUAUGUAGUAAUAUGGUACCUAAAUGUGGGAUCCUAAAGAAUAUGUAGUAAUAUGGUACCUAAAGGUGGGAUCCUAAAGAAUAUGUAGUAAUAUGGUACCUAAAUGUGGGAUCCUAAAGAAUAUGUAGUAAUAUGAUACCUAAAUGUGGGAUCCUAAAGAAUAUGUAGUAAUAUGGUACCUAAAUGUGGGAUCCUAAAGAAUAUGUAGUAAUAUGGUACCUAAAUGUGGGAUCCUAAAGAAUAUGUAGUAAUAUGGUACCUAAAGGUGGGAUCCUAAAGAAUAUGUAGUAAUAUGGUACCUAAAGGUGGGAUCCUAAAGAAUAUGUAGUAAUAUGGUACCUAAAUGUGGGAUCCUAAAGAAUAUGUAGUAAUAUGAUACCUAAAUGUGGGAUUCUAAGUUAAGAAUUUCCUUAAGUAGAUACGAAUGAAUGUAUGUAUGUAUGUAUGUAUGUAGGUGUGUAUGUAGGUAGUAUGUGCAUGUGUAUAUAUAUAUCCAAGUGAGUAUGUACGAAAGUGUGUGCACGUAUGUAGGGUUGUGAGAAGGCAUGUAAUAGGUAUGUAUGUAGACAUGUAUGCGUGUAUGUAUGUAGGUAUGCACGUAUGUAGGAACGUACGUAUGAAUGUAGGUACGUAGAUUUGUAAGUAGUUAUGUGUGAACGGAUGCACAUAUGUAAGUAUGUAUGAAAGUAUAUACGCAUGUAUUCAAUGAAAUUGAGUAUUGACGAUAAUAAUAGUGUGCCUUGUGAACGAAGUGUAACGCAGGUACAAUGAGAAAGUCUCACCACGGAAUGUACGAUCAGAUGGAAAGCUUGGAUGUAAAGAGUUAACGGAACAAAAAGUAAACGUGAAUAAAUCUUGUAUGUUUAUAAUGCGUACUAAUGUUAUGAAUUUAAUGUGGUGAGCGCAGGUAGUACGAGUCACGCGGAUCAUCAAGGAACAGAGAUCGAGGAUCGAGUCACUAGUGAGAUUGUACGGGAACGUUGAUGUAUAUAAUGUAGUAAACAUAAGCUAUGUUUUUACGUAGUAAAUAAGUCGAUUGAUGGAUUUAUGUGAAAGAGUUAUGUUAAAGUUAAUUUUUAAAUAAGUUAAGGUGUUUAUAAUGAAAGAAAGUUUAUGGCUUGAACUUCCGUUGCGACUUUUAGUCAAAUACGUAUUAGGGUCUUACAAGUUGGUAUCAGAGCCCUGGUUUGAGGGAAUCAAGUACGAGAAGGUAGGUACUUGAACUCAAACCUAUGUGCUCUUGUGAUAAGGAACCUGUACAAUCCAUGACUUGAUCAAGAUCUAAAGGUAGAAAUGGUAUGAAAACGUAUAUGUAUGUAUUCAUAUGAAGAAGCUAACGGUUUGCUAUGUGCAAGGUAAGCUUAAA
rnacentral:lncRNA from 1 species